GGAUUACGACACCUUCCACAUCAGCUACUUUGCAAAGGGGGGCACCCACAUUGCGCAUUUGUACGCCAGGGAAAAACAAGUGUCCGAAGAAGUGAUGAAAACCUUUGUGGACCUGGUCAGCUUUGUGGGCUUGGACCCAGAGCAGCUCUUCCCUUUGCGCGAAGUGGAUAUGUGCACAAGCCCACCUGAGGAAGCAUAGACCACCACAAAGCAUAGGGAAAACCAAAACCUCUCUGGAUUGGGAUCAUCUCCAUCUCCCAGAAUGGCAUACAGCUAUGGCAGCGUCCUCUCCAUCUCUUUACCUUCCAAAAAAGCCCUCUAGUCCCAUCUGAAUAAUAA